rnacentral:rRNA from 1 species
UACAGAGGUGGCAAGCGUUGUUCGGAUUUACUGGGCGUAAAGGGUGCGUAGGUGGUUGCUUAUGUCGGGCGUGAAAGCCCACGGCUCAACCGUGGAAGUGCGUCCGAAACUGGGCGACUAGAGUGCAGGAUGGGAGAGCGGAAUUCUUGGUGUAGCGGUGAAAUGCGUUGAUAUCAAGAAGAACACCGGUGGCGAAGGCGGCUCUCUGGAAUGCAACUGACACUGAGGCACGAAAGAUGGGGGAGCAAACAGG